rnacentral:rRNA from 1 species
GUGGGGAAUAUUGGACAAUGGGCGAAAGCCUGAUCCAGCCAUGCCGCGUGUGUGAAGAAGGUCUUCGGAUUGUAAAGCACUUUAAGUUGGGAGGAAGGGCAUUAACCUAAUACGUUAGUGUUUUGACGUUACCGACAGAAUAAGCACCGGCUAACUUCGUGCCAGCAGCCGCGGUAAUACGAAGGGUGCAAGCGUUAAUCGGAAUUACUGGGCGUAAAGCGCGCGUAGGUGGUUCGUUAAGUUGGAUGUGAAAGCCCCGGGCUCAACCUGGGAACUGCAUCCAAAACUGGCGAGCUAGAGUACGGUAGAGUGUGGUGGAAUUUCCUGUGUAGCGGUGAAAUGCGUAGAUAUAGGAAGGAACACCAGUGGCGAAGGCGACCACCUGGACUGAUACUGACACUGAGGUGCGAAAGCGUGGGGAGCAAACAGGAUUAGAAACCCGAGUAGUCC